rnacentral:rRNA from 1 species
AUUGAACGCUGGCGGCAGGCCUAACACAUGCAAGUCGAGCGAGUGGCGGACGGGUGAGUAAUGUCUGGGAAACUGCCUGAUGGAGGGGGAUAACUACUGGAAACGGUAGCUAAUACCGCAUACCAUCGGAUGUGCGCAGAUGGGAUUAGCUAGUAGGUGGGGUAAAGGCCCACCUAGGCGACGAUCCCUAGCUGGUCGGAGAGGAUGGCCAGCCACACGCGAACGGAAACACGGUCCAGACUCCCAAGGUAGGCAGCAGUGGGGAAUAGUGCACUAUGGGCGGGAGGCUGAUGCAACCCUGCCGCGUGUAGGAAGAAGGCCUUCGGGUUGGAAAGUACUUUCAGCGGGGAGGCGUUACCCGCAGAAGAAGCACCGGCUAACUCCGUGCCAGCAGCCGCGGUAAUUC